UUUUCAGUGUGCAAAGUAUUCUUUGGGUUUAUUUUUGCCUGGUACAGAAAUUAAGGUCUCCUCAGAGAAAGCAAAGUACAGGUGUUACAGUAAUUAUUUUAAAUAACCCAAGCUUAAGCUUAAGAGAAAGUGCGUAUCUAUAAUACCUUUUGAAAAUCAGACUUUUUUUUUGUCCUCUCUCUCUUUUGGAAAGCUGGAGCAGUAGCUAAUUUGCUUUGUAAGUUUCAGGAGCUAAUAGGAGUGCACAGAACAAUGAUUUGAUUGGCUAAUGGUUUCCUACCCAUUCCAAGGACUUUCUAGACUUCACAAGUCAUGGGUGCCAUGGAGAAUACAGAGGUCGGCCCAAGUUUCAAUAAUCAACUUCCUGAAAUUAAGGGGUAAGAUGAGUGAGAAAUGAGACAUAGCUACAGAAAGCUUCAUCAUCUGCCCAACAUCUCAGAAUAUGUUAUGACUUCCCUACCUCUUCAAGAAUCAACAGGACAAAGUCAAGAGCUUCAGAUAGUUUUCUGAGUCUCCAGGCCAGCCCCUCCAAAGAGAUAAGGAAACUUAAGCCCAAGAAAGCUUACUGGAUAUGAUGAAGUUCUUAAGGGUAACCGAUGGCAGAGGUAUUAUGACUCCUUAUUCUUUGAACUGAUUUAUAAGUGUUCCAUUUACUUACUGUUGUGUAAAGUACUCCAAGCUACUCAAAAAUUCAGAGCAUCAGAAAUUUAGACAGGACCCAGUGGAAAUGACCAAUGUCUUCCCCUCAAGGUCUGGGGCCUCAGCUAGGAACAGAGCUGGUGACUGGGGUUGGGAUCAUCUAGAGGCUUAAAGAAGACUCCCAUGUCUGGUGCCACAUCUAGCAAGGACAACUAGAACACCAGAUGCAAAUAAACCAGAGCACCUACAUGAGGCCUCUCCAAGUGGCUUGGGCCUCUCACAGCAUGCCAUCUGCAUUCUGAGGAGCACUUCCAAAAGGGAGCACCUAGAGGGGGAGUGUUCUAGAGAACUAGGCAGGAGCUGAACAGCCUCAGAUGUCACACAGCAACCCUGCUGCUGCAUUCUCUCGGCUACAAGUGAGUCACUAAGCCCAGAUUCAAUGGAAGAUGACUCUUGGUGAAAGAGUGGCAGGGUCACAUCUAGAAGAGCAUUUGUGAUGGGAGAUGCUACUGUGGACAUUUUUGAAAAAUGUCAUCUUUCACUGUAAGCACAAAUAUAUUUCCUGCACAAAUAACAGGGAAAUAAAAGAAAAAAAAAUCUGAACUAGGGCUUUAAAUGGCUAUGAAAGAAAACAGAGAGCUUUCCUACACACCAAUAAUAAUAGGUACAAAAACAAAGUGGAGUGCUGGGUACAGUGGCUCAUGCCUAGAAUCCCAGCACUUUGGGAGGCCAAGGCAGGGAGAUUGCUUGAGCCCAGGAGUUCAAGACCAUUGCCUGAGCAAUAUGGUAAAACUCUAUCUCUACAGAACAUAUAAAAAUUAGUCAGGCAUGGUGGCAUGUGCCUAUAGUCCCAGCUACUUGAG